UUAACACAUGCAAGUCGAGGGGCAGCAUGGUCUUAGCUUGCUAAGGCCGAUGGCGACCGGCGCACGGGUGAGUAACACGUAUCCAGCCUGCCGUCUACUCUUGGACAGCCUUCUGAAAGGAAGAUUAAUACAAGAUGGCAUCAUGAGUCCGCAUGUUCACAUGAUUAAAGGUAUUCCGGUAGACGAUGGGGAUGCGUUCCAUUAGAUAGUAGGCGGGGUAACGGCCCACCUAGUCUUCGAUGGAUAGGGGUUCUGAGAGGAAGGUUCCCCACAUUGGAACUGAGACACGGUCCAAACUCCUACGGGAGGCAGCAGUGAGGAAUAUUGGUCAAUGGGCGAGAGCCUGAACCAGCCAAGUAGCGUGAAGGAUGACUGCCCUAUGGGUUGUAAACUUCUUUUAUAAAGGAAUAAAGUCGGGUAUGGAUACCCGUUUGCAUGUACUUUAUGAAUAAGGAUCGGCUAACUCCGUGCCAGCAGCCGCGGUAAUACGGAGGAUCCGAGCGUUAUCCGGAUUUAUUGGGUUUAAAGGGAGUGUAGAUGGAUAUUUAAGUCAGUUGUGAAAGUUUGCGGCUCAACCGUAAAAUUGCAGUUGAUACUGGAUAUCUUGAGUGCAGUUGAGGCAGGCGGAAUUCGUGGUGUAGCGGUGAAAUGCUUAGAUAUCACGAAGAACUCCGAUUGCGAAGGCAGCCUGCUAAGCUGCAACUGACAUUGAGGCUC
rnacentral:rRNA from 1 species